GCCCUGAACCAAGUCAAGAAGUCAGCAUGUGGGAGCUGACGAGCCUGAUCAGGGCACCCAUCUGGAAUGGCUGCCCAAGAGCCAGCACCCAGCAACAGAAUGGACAGCAGGGACAAGGGUGGCUGUGAGAGUUCAGGAUGGAGGGUGGGAGGGGGGCCCUGUGCACUUUUAUAGGGCAGCUGCCACCUUGUCCAAGGAUGGGGAGGAGACUGUCCGGGGCACCAGGCAGGCAGGCAGCGCCAGGGUGUGCAUAAAUCAGUGAUAGUUCCUCCUCCAGUACUGUCCUGUUGGCAAGAAAUGUGGGGAGACUUUGCUGAGAACCAAGUGGGGAGAUCAAAGACAAGGAUAUUAGAGGCUUCGCCCUUCGGGGACAGAGCGUGAUUUAUGUGGUUUUUAUAGAGUCAGACGACCUUGCCUUGAAAUCUCUGAUUUGGCUUUAAUGAGUGACAGUCUUGAUUUCUUAAUCUGUACAAUGGGCACAAUAGCUCUUAUUGCAUGUUAUUAUGGCACUGACCUGAGCUAAAUGCCGCAAGUGCCCAAGAGGGGCUGGCACAUAGUAGGCGUCCUAUUAGUGCGAAUUCCCCAAUACCCACCUUGUCCCCUUUCCCUUUGAAACCAUGGAGACCUGACUGGAGCACAGGGGAGGAGGCGAACUGGGAGGGGGGCAUGGGGGGGGUGUCUCUGCAACUGUCAUCGGGGACUGACAUCCAAGCCCCUGUCAUUUGAGAGGCACCAGGAGAACCCACCCAUGUGGGAAGUCCCCCAGCCAGAUGGUGACUUGUGGGGUGUAACUUAAUAGCCUCUUGGAUUAAGGGCCUUGGAAAUGCUUUGUGGCCGUGGGAGAGUUGGGGGUCCGCGGGUUUGGCUGCCGUGUCUGGAAGAACACACGCACGCCCCGCGCUAAGCGCCCUGCGGGGGGUGGGGGGGGUGCCCACUGGGCGAGGGCGGGGAAGGCUGGGCCCUGUGAUUUUCCAACUAUUGUCAAACACAGAGCCCUGGGCUUUGGCAGGCCAGAUGGCAAAUGAGCUGUCUCGAGGUGACAGGGGACCUGAUGGGCUCUGGCUUCGUGGCACACGCGGUGUCCCAGGAUGCCACCUGUGCAGUCGCACUUGUUUACACUUUCGCUUCCAAAGCGAGGCACACAGGCGGCUCUCACAGCCAUUUGGAUGGUUAACAAGCACUUACUGACAAAGAGGAGAAAAUUCAGACGUCGUGGGCCAAUUCCUGGCAGAAUAGGGCUGCGGUUGCCAAUUUUUUUUAGACUCCUUGCGGUUGUGUCUUUAAGAUUGUAUCUCCUCUUGGCCACAUUUCCUGUUUGAUUGCGGAGGCUUUUGCUCCCCUUCUCCUCCUCCCAGGGUCUUGCAUUGGUUCAAGAGUGUUAUCAUCACAGCAAUCGCCCUUUCUUUCUUUCUUUCUGAACCUGAUGUUUGGAAUCAAAUAGAACUGAGUUCAAAUUGUGCCUCCAUCCUAGCGUGAUGUGCAGUGAUGGCUUUGCUCCUCUUGCCUUCACAUAUGUCCAGGUUUUGUUUGUUGGUUUUAAGGAUUAAGAAGUAACAUAUGGAGUUCCCGUCCUGGCUCAGUGGUUAAGGAACCUGACUGGCAUCCAUGAGGACGCAGGUUCGAUCCCUGGCCUUGCUCAGUGGGUGAAGGCUGCAGCAUGGCCGUGAGCUGUGGUGUAGGUUGCAGAUGCGGCUCAGAUCCCACGUUGCUGUGGCUCUGGCGUAGGCUGGUGGAUACAGCUCUGAUUGGACCCCUAGGCUGGGAACCUCCACAAGCCAUGGGUGCAGCCCUAAAAAGAGAGAGAUACAAAAAAUAAAAUUAAAAAAAAUCAAAAAAGAAACAUACAGCUGAGUAAAUGUACACUUAUUUCAGAUGACUUCCUUAUUUUAAAAAUGUUUUUAUUCCCAAACUCUUUGCAUGGCUCCACCUAAUAGGAGGUAAAACAAGGGCUCAGAGAGGUGAAGUAACUUGCCCAAGGACACACAGCAGUGAGCAGGCAUUCCAACCUGCCUUUUUGUUUGUCUUUUCAUUCCAAAAUAACUUGACUUGCAGAAGCAAAGCCGCUAAAUUUGCACAUACCCUCCCCCCCCCAGGAUUCCCCAAAUGAUAACAUCAUACAUACACAUGGCACAAUUAUAAAAAUCAGAAAAUUAACAAGUAAUAUUAUGAUCUAAUUAUUUCAACUCUACUGAAUGUCCCAUCCAUGUCCAUUUUCGGGUCUAGAAUCCAAUCCAGAAUCACAUGUCACAUUUAGUUCUCAUCCUCCUUUAGUCUGGAACAGUUCCUUCACUUUUCUAAGAUUUUCUUGACCUUGACAAUUUGAAGGGAAUAUAACAAGCUGGUUGUACUUUACAAAAUGCCCUUGGAUUUGGGUUUGUCUUAUCAUUCCUCACUCUUAAAUUCAGGCUGUACAUUUUUGGCAGAUGAAUCCCAGAAGUGACGUUAUGACUUUUUAAAACAAUUUUUAUUGACGUAUAGUUGACUCACAGUGUUAUAUUAGUGUCAGGCAUACAGCAAAGUCAUUCAGUUACACUUAUACACAUAACGUCUUUCUGAGUGUGUUGCUUCAUGCUCAUUCGUUCCCUUACUGGUGACAUCAACACAGUCAUUUGGGUGUAGAUUCCAAGGCUUUUGGUCUUUCACCUGCAUCAUGCAACUCACGGUCUGAUUUCUAUAUAUUAUUCUCAAAUGCUCAGAACGCAUACCGUCAGGAAGGGACUUGAAAAUGAUAUUCAAUGAUGUUGCAACUCAGGAUGUUGCUUUUUACACUGUGAGUUUGCUUGAGAGCACAGCCCAGUUUCAAACCUCCAGCACUUUUGUGCAUAGUACAGAGAGAAAGCCAAGGUGAUGUUAGCGGAAUGAAAAUAAAUAAACGGAAUCAUGAACACAUGAGUGAAUGGAAUUCUCCGUUCAGUCUGCUCCUUGAAAGCAGGAAAAUAGACUUUAUGUGUCCCUUUCUUUUCCGCAGUGCCUACAAACCGUGGGUACGCAAGUUUGAAGAAUACAACUGCCUAGUGGUUGUUUCCCGACUUUCAGGAGGAAGGGGAAAAUGACUGUUUUAUAU
ensembl:lncRNA